CGGGGCGUGGCGCAGCUUGGUAGCGCACCUGAAUGGGGUUCAGGGGGUCGCAGGUUCAAAUCCUGUCGCCCCGA
rnacentral:tRNA from 1 species